UUUAACCAUGAGACAGACAAGAAAACUAAGGUAAAUAGUGGCAAAACUGACGGACCAGUGUGUGAAUCCCCAAGCUGCUCUUGAACCUGUUGCCAGCAGUUUAGACAUUAAUGGCUGUGUGAUGUGUUAUUUUGUGUGGACAGCAAAUCAGGACUAGACCUGGAUACCCUGAACGGCCUGUUUGAUGUUCUCCAGCAGCGCCUUGUUCUCCGGGCUCUGGUACUGGUCCUGCAUUUCCACACUGCUCAUCCUGGCCUUCUUCAUGGCCGAGGUGGCACGAGGACAACCGGAGAGACUGGAAUAAAACCCACGCAUUGAGAAAAGGUUUACUGCGAUGGAUCAUCUAUAUGCU